GCAUUUCUUUUGAAUAAAAUAUCCACGAUCCAGUGAUACGGACUGUAUCUCAGUGAAAGCAAAUUUCAUAACAAAUUGUGUCAGAAGUGAGAUCGUGGAAACUAAGAGAAAAGGUAAAAUUACACGAUUUAACAGCGGAACAGUUCAAACAGGAGCUGAUGGAAAGGAACGUAACAGCAACUGGUGGUAAGCCUAAUAAAAAAGGAAAGCUGCAGCGCUGACUUUGGGAACAACUAAAAAAGGAGGGAGAUGAUCCUUCCGUAUUUGAAUUCUACGGCGAUUCUUAUGAAGUCUACCCGACGGAUAGUAUUGUAGAAGAAGAACAUACGUGUGCAACCGGUGAGAGACGAGAGGCACUUACGUACGUUGAAGCUACAGUACCACAGAUGCAGCAAGGCUACACAACAAUAUUUUAUUUUUCUACAAUAAGACUACUCACAGGCUUUAGAUCUUUUGAGCCAGGUAACUGAAGUAAUUGUAUGCGAAAGUUUGCGAUCAGUUCGUAGUGAGAUAUUAGUGAAAAAGCGUGGACACGUUACAAUGAGAUUCUCAUGAAUUUUUGAACAACAAAGUGUUGGAGCACGCAGGAUCACAACUGAAAGCACCACAAUGUCAGCUCAUACGGAUUAUGAAGAUGUAGAACUUCUGAAAAGUGGCAAAAAUCCACUGAGUCACACGCCGAUUGGUUUUUUGUUAACGGACGAUAUUUGUAAACAGAUCACCACAAAAUCUAAACUUACGUGAGAGGAUUAUCAUAUUAAUUAGAUUGGAUUGGGGGUCAGAACAGAUACGACUACGGAUUCCUACGGUUUCAGCAAUACCAGCCGAACAAUAACUAAACGUUUAUGAAGUUUCGAUAUUGCUGGCACAUUACAUACAAUACGUCAUGCUGAGCCGGGAACAAGGAAAAACAAUUAAAUGCUGAGACAGUCCCUUUCACAGAAUUAGUAGAAAAAAGAUAUAUUACAUUUAUAGCAAUUCAUUUAACGCUCGAAAUCGAAGUGGGCUUUAAUUCUAUUGUCUUGAGGAAAUGCAGCAGAUGCCACUAUUAGUUAACAUUAGUUACGAUUACAGUUUAGUUUUUAAAAAUAAAUGAUUUUAAUAAUUUAAUACCUUCUAUCUUAUUCUUCACCCAUUGUUAAUCAACAAUAUAGUGUAGUGUAAGUAAGUGGCUUUAGCAUAAGUCAUGGUUUUUGGAAAACCGGUUUUAUUUUGCUUAACAGUAUUAUAUUUUCCUGCGACGAAGCCCUUAGUAUAUGUGCAGUCCACUUUGAGCUGUGCUAAAAACAUAGACAUAUUUUUUUGGAGUUAGGUGUAACUUUCAUUGACUUGGAGAUACUUUUUUACGAUUCAGGGAUACUUUGAUUGGAUUUAGGGGAAACUUUUAGCAUCCAGGGGUGGUUUUAUUGGGAGUUAGGGAUACUUUUAUUUGCCUUGGGUUACUUUUGUUGGACUUAGAGGAACUUUUAUUUCCAAGUCUGAAGUUUCUAGUUUUCUUUGAUUUCAUUUGGAUUUUUAUCCGAUUUAUUUUCUUCAUUCACCAGUGCGAAGUUAUUAGAAAUAAUCUAGAAGAAUGCCUGCUAGCUGGAGUUGUUAGGCCCUCAACAACUGCAGUGGAAAGUUUUACCGGAAGGUAGAGCGAUACGAAAGAAAAAAAGUCAGCUGAACAUGGAUUUCGGCCAAUUAAAUCUAAUGCUACUAAAAGAUUACUUUCCAGUGCCGACAUUGGAUGUUGUUUUUGAAAAGCUACAGUCAACACUCUUCAAAUUCUUUCAUACUACAGAUUUGGACAAACAAAAAAAAAAAAAAAAGAUGUAACAUUUGAUUUUUGUUUUGUAAGAUUUGCUACAAAUUCAACUCUGUGGUGGGUUCUUAAUUUUAAUGACGGCCUUUAGCGAACGUAUUGAAAAACGUUGGUAUGCCUGGAAAAAAAAAUUAUGUAAAGGGAAAACAAAAGCGCUGAUUACUUAUGGCGUUAACUAAAUUUCAUUUUCGAGUUCCUAUUUUUUUGCUAUACACAUACACAAGUGCAAGAACCGCUCUCUCAAAGUGUCAAAGUCAAGUUUGGGUUAAGGAAGAACGCUAUUGCAAAUGGUUCGAGUCAGAUCACCUUUUCGACUACUUCCUAUAGAAAGCCUCGUUUUGAAGCUUUUUAUACGAAUACUUGAAUUAUUUUCUGGAUUAAAUGUUAUUAAUAUUAAUAUCUAGGAAAUUUUUAUGUACCAUAUUUUUAAA